UUUUAGAUUAAAUUAUGUUUUUAUUCAUCAGGUAAUCAUAUAAAAUAAAUCAUAUAUCUUUCACGAGUUACUAACAGACUAUAUAGAUAUUAAGUAUUUUCUGCAACAAUGAUCAUGCCUAGUGAUCUAGCAGUUUAUUUCAUUGUCUAUCCCAGCCAAAAUUAUCCGUAAUUAUUUGGCGUGAACAUUUUAGUGAAUCUGAAUCUGAAUUUUUGAAAAUUCUUCCUCUAUAUUUCCUCUAUAUAUUUAAAACUAAAAAUAUUUUCUAAGUAUUAUGUAAUUACAUUUGUUUUUUAUUUCAUGUUUCAAAUUAACAUAGUCCCAUUUACUUGUUAGUAUCUUUUGUUAAGUUGAUAAGAUUAUUUUCAUUUCAUCAAGUAUCCUAAUUUAUAAAUUCUUUAAUAUUAUAAUUAAAUUAAUCAUAAUCUUCUUUAUGUUAAUGAGGAAGUAAUGUAGAAGUGAUGGCCAAAAAGAAAAAUAUAAUCAUAAGUAAUCAAAUGUGUUUCAACUGUUAGCACACCACAUUAACAUGCAAAGAACUAGACUAACAGAAAGGUUAGAAUUACAGAUUUAUGCUAAUUGAUUGCUUAUUAAUAUUAUCGAAACGAUUUAGUCACAGUUGGCUAGCAGAUACUACGCCAUUUCUAGCGCUUAGAAGUAUUAAACGGACGUGCAAGAAUGUUACUUUAAUUGACGCUACUUUAAUCCCACUUCGAAUAUUACGAUUGAAUUUGUUUGUUAGCCUAAUUACAAUGCACUGAAAUUUUUCCAUUUUUACUGAUUCAGCGAAUGAUUAACACAUUACGAAAUAAUAAUUGUUCACCGAGAUACCUAAAGAAUGCGAAUAAGAAGUAGAAACUUGCUAAGAAUCAUCGUUAUUUUCCAACGUGUUUCCCAACGUCUGUCUUCUUUUUAGAGUAAAUAUUGUAUCUCGGUAGCCUUCGCGACGUAAAAACCACAAGUCUUUUGUAAAUUCUGCAAGCAAUUCUAAAUUUUAAAACACGAAGUAUUCACGGUCACAAUCAACCUUCGUCGAAAGAGUUUUCACUUCGAAUUGCAUCAAUAGAACAAUGUCUUUCCUUGAAUGUAAGAAGAAAAUAUGAUGGAAAAAUCAAAUACGUUUUAAUCAAGUUUACUAAAAAAAGCGGUUAUAUAACGUGCUUGAAAUAAACUUACAUCAAACUGCAACACUGUGAAUUGCAUAAAUAGUAUAGAUGACUAAUGUGGAAUCAUAUUUAUGAACAGAAGAAGAUGAAUCGCUCGAUAGAGAUAAAUUUUGCUGCGCAUGACAAGAAAUUUGUCGAAUUCAUCUAUUGGUGAAAGACGAUGAAUAAUAAUUCAUGAAUUAUCCAAAUGUUGGACCUUAUUCUGUCAUAACUAACAUGCAAGCCAUAAACGGGUGAAAUGGGAAGUGGUCCGGGAAAUAAGUCAGGCUGAUUUAACGAGCAUAAAUGUGCGAGUUAGCAUAUCGGCAAAGGCCGCGCCCUGCGCAUCCGUUUCUCAAUGGCCUACUAAAAUCUACGCUCACUCUCUUUGUGUGUCGACGAUGAAAAUAACCCCAUCAACGUAGGAAGAGAAGCUAGGUUUACGGAUUAGAAACAUGAAAAGGAAGGCAGGCUGAAAGAACGAUAGUGUUGCUAUCAAUAAGACCAAGGAAAAGAAAUUUAUUCGAUUGGAAUCGGUUCGAUCAUAGAAUCCCAUUUUUACCGUUCCCAAUCUUUCUCUAAUGGAUAUUAUACGAACUGUACAGGCAUUAUAUUUUGCCAAUAGAAAUGGCAAUUAGAAGAAUAAUGCUCGUUACGAUUAUAUUUAAUAUAUUUCAUAAAUUUUAAUCAAAGGUGGGUCAGUAAUUUAUCAUUUAUCCUAAUCUAAAAAAAUUUAGAUUUCUUAUAUGAAAAAUUAAAAUUAAUUGCGUAAGUAAAAUGAUUAUAUCUCUUCAUUUUGUUCAUUAUGUAAUUGAAUUAGAGGUUCCCUCUUUCAUACAAACUUUCCUUUUCAGACACACCGGAUUACCUUUGAUUUUAAGCACUCAAAACCGUGAAAUCGUUGAUCAUUGAUUAAAGCAUCGAUUUGUACUGAACUGAGACUAACAUGCAAAAAUUGUGCUUCCGGCAUUUUCAAACCACUGAGCUUUUCGUAUGUGUUCCAAGUGUCGAGCAAAAACUAAAAAAGCUAGCAGAUUUGUUCGAAUUCGUGUCAACUUUACUUUUUCGCAUCAUAGAUGCGUAAUUUUAUUAGCCUGAAAAGAAUGAUAAGAUGACAAUAACCAGGAGAACAAAGAGUGAUUUUUAAAUAGUGAUUCGGAGGAAUUUCUCUGACAUUCCUGAUUCUAAUUCAAGUUGUGAUGUCACACAGCAUGAAAAUUGAAGCGAAAGCUUCGCAAUAAUAUUGUUGAUGCGAAUUUGACGAGAUAUUUAUAAGGGAGAAUAAUGAUGGCAAUCAUUUGAUACAAAAUUUUAUUUGAUUGUCAAUUAUACUUGUCAAUCAUUAGCUUCAUGAACUAUAAAGGAUUUAUCCAAACGAGACUAGAAGAAGAAAAAAAGUAAAAGUAGGACAGAUGACGCCUUCGGGUAGAAUUGUUUUCAUUUACGAUUCAACUUAUUUCACACUCAAUUAACGAUUACGACUAUUAACUCUCUGUAUGGAAGUUUUUCAUAAGCGGCUAUAUAGACAUGAAUUCAGUAAUACUUUUUUACGCUUAAAAAGAAGUUAACUAUUGAAACGUUUACAUUUUUCUCGUCAUAUAACAAAAAUACUAGUCGAGAGACUGUCUAACUAGCUGGUGAUAAUAUGAUAAAUGGACACGUUAGCAAAGUUAAGCGUGUUAACUCCGAUUGGAUCAUUACUGCUUCGAAGCUCAAAAAGAAAAGAGGUUUCGAUGCUUCCAGAGAUUUUCACGCUCCAUCACGGAACGCAGACUGUUUAAUCAAAUUGAACGACGUUUCGUGGGAGAUUGUGUAACGCACAGGAAAUAUUCAGUGAAUUCUAAUUUUGAGACAGCUGGAUAAAUGCCCAGUAAAUAAAUUAAAAAAAUCUUCAUCGAUCGUUAAUUUCAAUUUCUUUUAAUUCGAUAUUCUCAUUCUUAAAUACAACUAUAGAAUGUAAAACUUUCGUCAAAUGGGAUAAAUUUUUAACUGCUGGAAUAAAAUAAUUGGAACAUAUUGUUAAAGGUGAAUUUUUAUUGAACAAUAUUUCGAUUUAAAACUAAGAAGAAACGAGAUAAACUUGAAAUCAAUGUGCGUAUUAACAAAAUUAACGUUACUUAAAGAAUUUUAUUAAUAGAAGAUUAGAAAACUUUAAUUAUUCGUAAGAGAUAUAGAAUCUAGAACAUAUUUUCUCGAGAUCAGUAGGUCACCUAUUCUAGACUAGCAUGAUGUCGGCCAGAUGAAAUCGUAGAUCGCCGGUUACCAUAACGACCAACGGUUCUCCCUUUAUUUUUCUACCUACCCCUAACAUUGUGUAUAGUAUUCCAACUAAAUCCCCUAGUAUUUCUAUUCUGUACGAUUACAAGCUUCUCCAUUCAAUACCUUCAAUGUUCUAUUCUUUUCGCAGAAUUUUCUACCUGACCCUUGCUUCUGACAAUUCAUCAAUAGAUUUCAUUUCGAUUUUAAAUGACAAGGAAAUGUGAAUUCGGUAUAAUAAUAUUUCAAUCUAUACGAUUACAUUUGCGAAGUUAAAUAAUUCAUUUUCAAACUUCGAUAAUAAAGAGAAUAAAAAGAAAAAUAGGAUAAAAAAUAAUUGCAUGUAUAUAUUAAAUUUUGAAAAAAAAAAAAAAUCGUCAGCAGCUAAAAAGCAAAAAUGAAAAGAAAUCGUCUCACCUUGGCUUAAUACAUUCUAAAGAAGGUCACAUUAUCAUGAUAUAAAUUUUUGCUGUAACAAUCAUCAUUGCUAUAUAAGGAAAUAGCAUGAUGCUUUUACGCAAUAAGCAAACACACUAACGUGAAUGUUACUUGGCAAAAUAACAUGUGUAAGACUAUUUGCAGAAACAUUUUUCUAGGAAUAUUAUGGUCAUAUAGAAAUACGAUUUGAAGAUCGAGAUAGCCAAGACCUUGAAGACAAAAGUCGAGCAUAGUUGUUUAAAAAAAACUAUCUGUCUUACACUUGAUGAAAAAUCGUUUUAAUUAAACGAUGCUUUAUAUUUCUUGCGCUUCAACUUCCUUCAUUUUAUAAUCAUAUAAAAUCAUAAAAAUAUAAGUAUUGAAUAAAUUCUAAUAAUCUUUUCUUCCUUCUAAUUGAUUUGUUUUUUGAAAUGGACGAUGAUUUAAAAACUGUUUUCAUGAUCUAGUGGAAAAUUAUAGGUUUAUAGAGAAUUCAGUGAAUCGACAAAAAACUUUCAUUUUUUUAUCAUAGACUGCAUCAAUGCACUUUGAAAAUAUAUCUGUUAAAACAACAAAUUAUUAAAAUUAAUUACAAAAUAAUGGAAACUGCGUAACGACUUCGUUUCAAUAUAAAAAAGAAUAACAAUUAUUUACUUGUCAUAUUGUACUUAUGAAUAGAAAUUUCUCCACAGAGAAAAUUUAUUAUUUUACUAAAUAUGCCCUGUCAAAGAGCACGAACAAACAUAUUGCAUAAUAGAUUUUCAUUUUACUAACUACAAGAAAAUUGCCGCAAUGAAUCACGUUUUAAUAAAAGGUAGAAAAUCAAUUCAAUCUAAUUUAAUAUAUUAAUAAUAUAAAAGAAUAUUGUGUAAUCUAUACGAUCUCUUGUGAUGCUAAAUUCCGAUUUAAA